AACACGUGAAUAACCUACCGAAAAGCAGGGGAUAACAUUUGGAAACAGAUGCUAAUACCGUAUAAAACGUGCUGUCGCAUGACAAAACGUUAAAAGGUCCGUUUGGACCACUUUUUGAUGGAUUCGCGGUGCAUUAGUUAGUUGGUGGGGUAAAGGCCCACCAAGACGAUGAUGCAUAGCCGAGUUGAGAGACUGACCGGCCACAUUGGGACUGAGACACGGCCCAAACUCCUACGGGAGGCUGCAGUAGGGAAUCUUCCACAAUGGGCGCAAGCCUGAUGGAGCAACGCCGCGUGUGUGAUGAAGGCUUUCGGGUCGUAAAGCACUGUUGUAUGGGAAGAACGGUAAGGGUAGGAAAUGACCUUUACAUGACGGUACCAUACCAGAAAGGGACGGCUAAAUACGUGCCAGCAGCCGCGGUAAUACGUAUGUCCCGAGCGUUAUCCGGAUUUAUUGGGCGUAAAGCGAGCGCAGACGGUUCGAUAAGUCUGAAGUGAAAGC
rnacentral:rRNA from 1 species